rnacentral:lncRNA from 1 species
CUCAGGGUUCCCAGUGGAAGGGACAGAGAGGCCCUGCAUGGCCAGAGGGCCAGUUCCCGCUUUCCCCCUCUGGUACCGUGGGGUCAGAAACAAGCCACCAAGCUUUUGCUCAGAAAAUAUUUAAAAACAGAGUUCUGGCCACCAUGUCACCAACUGCCUCUCGCUCAGAAACAGCCAAACUGGUAGCUGCACGGUAACAGCGAUGGCAGUGGCUGCAGUGCCACAGUCACCCCUCAGUGUCCUCAACCUGGAGCCACCAGUGAGGCCCGCUCCCCACGUGGUGCGUCACACUGCCAGCUGGUGGCAGAGCACAGGGCUUCACUAGGAUGGAGAAGUGGGGAAGUGCUGGGUGCAGGGGAGGGGACACCACUGGGUCACUCACAGGUUGCAGGAGGUCACAUUUCUGAGGCCAGCAUCUCCCCACCCCAGCUGCUGUCUCUAAUGUGCCCAGAGGCUGCUGUGGCCUCCCCUGCCGUGGCCUCCCCCGCCAGGCAUGGCCCUUGCUUUGCAGCUGAGUCGCAGGUUCAAAACAGGCCCCCAGGAGCAGUGUUGAUCCUGCAUCCCGCUGCCUCCCGUGGGCAGGUGGCUGGCAGGGGCGGCCCUGAGCAGCAGGGUGGGGCCCAGGAGCUGCUUGUGCCAGGGCUGCCACCUGCUUCUGACCAGAUGUCCUCCUUGCAGCUGCGCCAUUGGCUCCUGGUGUAAACGGAGCCCACGGAUGACCAGGGCAGUCCUCUUGCCACAGGGAGACAGAGGAGGGAGAUUGACGUUUCCAGAGAAAGAGGGCCACUCCCACCCCUGCCUCUACUGAGAACGCAGCACGAGGCUCCAUCUCUGACUCCUCACCGCUUCACGCCCCACAGAGGGCUCGCCCUGCGUCCUGCGUCCUGCGUCCUGUGAGAACAGCAGAGAUCCUCGUGGUGAGGUUCCAGCCUGUCCCAUCUCUGCACACGGGUCCACGUGGCUGGCUCCUCCCCUGCGGCCACCCUGGAACACGAUCUUGCUGUCACCCAUGCUCUGGGGAGAGGGACCCGGGUGACUGUACAUACACUGUGUGAGGACCCCUGUGCUCACGAUAGCUGCCUGGGUCAUUUAUUUUGCUCAGAUUUUAAAAGCCAAGUGUCCUGUUUUGUCUAAGUGUGCAGAAGGAGAGUCGGGGAGACCGCCCCGAGGCCCCACUCCUUUCCCGUGUGUGGCCAGGCUGGAUGUGAGCGCCCUGCCCUCCUGGCACCCCUCGUCUGUUUUGGCCAUGGACGACUGGGGUCUGGAACGUGGGAUUGGGCACUCUUUUGGCUUCUUGGUCAGCUCAUGGUCACCUCGCUGGGGACUUCCAGGCCAUGGGAGGAGGGCUGCUCCUUGUAAGCCACAUGCCGAAGCUCGAGGGCCCCUGGCACGUGGGAGCCACUAGGCAGCCUGCAGACACCCCGCAUGUCCUGGAGCUGGCCCUUGGGGAAGAACCAACAGGGUGUCGUUUCUCUCAGGCACCAUCACAUCUGUGGACACUUUUCCUGUUAGGGAGUGGCUUUUUAAAAUCACAUUUACCUUCGAAUCCAGACUAUUCUCACGGCCUAAGGUCAGUCUCUGCAUGUCUGUAUGCUGGUGGCUGGUUUUGUUGACAAAAGCUAUCAGCAAUACCAAGUGAAGAAGGCCACCCAGGGCCACCUCCACGGCACACUGGCUGCUGCCCCUGGAGGGAAGGGCACGUGUCCCCAGGUCACCUGGAGCUUCUGGAUGUGGCCUGCAGAGAGGUCGCACCCUGUGCCGUCCAGCAGGCGCAGGCUGCAUACAGAGCCCUCUGGGCCUCCCACAGGUGGACGUGGGCACCAGGGACUGGACCCUGACACUGGGGAAACUCGAGCCAUGUCCCUUGAGCCCUGCAGUCACGGCCAAGGCCCGUGCCUCCUCCUUGCCGAGGUGUGGCUCUGUAGAAGCAGGUGUCCUCAGCAUGCUAGCGUCUCCGCCGUCAGUGUCUGUGUGGUCCUCACGCACAAUAAAUGAAACCUGUCCAGAAAAU